AUACGAAGGGGGCAAGCGUUGUUCGGAAUAACUGGGCGUAAAGCGCACGUAGGCGGAUUGAUCAGUUAGAGGUGAAAUCCCAGGGCUCAACCCUGGAACUGCCUUUAAUACUGUCAGUCUAGAGAUCGAGAGAGGUGAGUGGAAUUCCGAGUGUAGAGGUGAAAUUCGUAGAUAUUCGGAGGAACACCAGUGGCGAAGGCGGCUCACUGGCUCGAUACUGACGCUGAGGUGCGAAAGCGUGGGGAGCAAACAGGAUUAGAAACCCGGGUAGUCC
rnacentral:rRNA from 1 species